rnacentral:rRNA from 1 species
UACGUAGGGUGCGAGCGUUGUCCGGAAUUAUUGGGCGUAAAGGGCGUGUAGGCGGCUUCGUAAGUCUUGUGUGAAAGCCCUCGGCUCAACCGAGGAAUUGCACGAGAAACUGCGUGGCUCGAGUCCGGGAGAGGAUAGUGGAAUUCCCAGUGUAGCGGUGAAAUGCGUAGAUAUUGGGAGGAACACCGGUGGCGAAGGCGGCUAUCUGGACCGGUACUGACGCUGAUACGCGAAAGCCAGGGGAGCAAACGGG